AGGGAGGCGUUCACACUCCUGUCGUUUGCUUGAGGAUGGUGACGACUCCCAACUAUAGCAGUAUGCUUUACCUACCCCGAUCAAUUUUAUGGAAGAAAAGGAAACCAAACAAAGUCUGCACUAUGAGCUUGGAGUGCGGUCCCGGGCCCCCAAAAUCUGGGAUUACAGAUGGGAGCCACUGUACCCAGCCUGUGCUUAUAAUUUUUCCUACUCAGUGUUCAAAUGCUGACAAUUCUACAUUUUGGAAGAAAGCCUCUUCGACUUCCCAUAGUGGGUAGACUUUAUUGACAUCAAGGUUGGUUGCCUUCUUUGUGAAACCUUGUUGCAUCCUAGCUGUAAGGAAAUUUGCAAGUUAAAUAAUUAUACUCAUAGCAAUAUUUUUAAAGAACAUUUAACCACAUAAGACAGAUUUCCUUUAAUAUUAAAAGCAUGUACAUAUUUCAGAAAACUUGCUUACCUGGACAACGUGCCCUGCCCAGUAGGCGAUAGUGUCCUUGCUUAGGUGUGUGGUUGCUUUACCUCCACGGAUAACCUACAGGAGUUUACUCUUGCUCUUGAUUCCUAACAUUGCUAGGCCCAUUGAUGUGGUAUAAGUCUAGGAAUUCUGCCCCAAAAUUGGUAGGUUAAACUUUUUUUUUUUUGAGACUGACUCUUCCCUCUGUCAGUCACCCAGGCUGGAGUGCAGUGGCACAAUCUCGGCUCACUGCAACCUCUGCCUCCUGGGUUCAAGCAAUUCUCCUGCCUUAGCCUCCCGAGUAGCUGGGACUACAGCCACGUGCCACCACGCCCGACUAAAUUUUUGUAUUUUUAGUAGAGACGGAUGGUCUUGAUCUCCUGACCUUGUGAUCCGCCUGCCUCGGCCUCUGAAAGUGCUGGGAUUACAGGCAUGAGUCACCGUUUCCGGUUGGUAGGUUAAACUUCUAUCUUUUUUGUCUAUGUCUACAUUCCAGCAGACAUGUAUGUCUUAUCUGUUACAAAAGAAAGUAAUGGAUGGGUUCAGUGGCUCAUGCCUGUAAUCCCAGCAAUUUAGGAGGCCAAGGCGGGCAGAUCGCCCAAGGCCAAGAGUUUAAGACCAGCCUGGGCAAUGUGUCGAAGUCCCAUUUCUUAAAAAAAAAUUAUAAAAAAUUAGCCAGGCAUGGUGGUGCAUGGCUGUGGUUCCAGCUACUCGGGAGGCUGAGGUGGGAGGAUCUCUUGAGGUGGAGGCUGCAGUGAGCUGUGAUUGUGCCACUGCAUUCCAACCUGGGUGACAGAGCGAGAGCCUGUCUCAAAAAAGAAAAAGAAAAAAACUGAAACUAAAAGAAUCACAUCUCUUAUUUUCUCUUCGUAUUGUGUAAUCCUUUCCAACAAUCAAAACUAGGCCUUUUGUUCCCUCAUGGUCUUCUUUUUUUCAAACCUGUGUUUGAGAAGAAACAUCCAUUUUCACCUUGAGAUGUGAGGUUAUAACAUGAAAUACAUUUUCGUGGCAUUUCUACUUAGACAAGAUCAAUUUUUUAAAACGUUAGCAUAAAUUUCUCAAACCAUGGUCAGAUCUCCCUCAUUUCCCAUGUCAAGCGGUUACACAUUCUGUCAGUCCUACCUAAAAGCUCUUUCCUUCUCCCCCUCCGCUCAGUGUUUUGCCUGUUGUUACCGCUCAGCUGGUUAGCAUCGCAGUUGGUCUCGGCUACAGUCCAUUACUCACAGCGCCGACACACGUUUCCUUCAAAAGCCUCAUCACCAUCCUCCUGCAAUGCGACCUUCACCGGCUCCCUGUUGCCUGCCCAGGAGGAUAAAGUCCAAUUUCUCCUGCGGAAGGAAGACCCUUGACACGCUAGUCCCAGCCUGUCUUCAGCCCAGUCCCUUAUAUUUCCUUUCCUGCCUUAUCCUAAGACACCCUUACCUUGCAAUCACACUCAUUUUCCGAGCAUUUUUAAAGGUACUGAGGGAGUUGAGAGUCUAUACUUGAAUAAAAUACAGACUUUACACUCCAGACUGCACAGUUGACAGGUAAGUCCACAGUUCAUAGUGUGGACAGUCCUAUACAAAGAAAUGGAAAGGUGCCUCAGCUCCAGACACUGUGCUGCUCUGGAAGUCGAGGGUGGCAUUCUUUUGGAGCCUGAGCACUUGGGUCCUAAUGGGUGUGAGUCCCCUGGCCUCAAAUGUGCCUCCUCUACUUCAGUGUCUGCUUCUGUGAGAAUCUCGCUUAUUUUUCAAGUUACAGCCCAAAUGUCAACCAUUAAAGUCUUUUAGGCAGUUGGUUUUCCUUCUGGGCCCUAUUGUUAGCACUCUGUUUGUAGCUCUGUUGAGCUUCAUCACAUCAUACAAUUUUCAGCUGACACUACUGUCAUCCCAAAGAAAUGGUCAGGCCCCAAGGGCAGAGGCAGCGAGGGCAGUGAUCUUGGAACAAAAUCUCUACCGAACAAAUACAGCAAGUGUAUUUCUCUAGCAAAGGCCUACAUUUCAGCUGGUAUCUGAGAACAUUCUUUUCUUUGUCUGGGUGGGGUGUCUCCCUCUGUCGUCCAGGCUGGAGUGCAGUGGUGCAAUCUUGGCUCACUGCAGCCUGCGCCUACCAAGUUCAAGUGAUUCUCCUGCCUCAGUCUCCCGAGUAGCUGGGAUUACAGGGAUACACCAUGAUGCCGGGCUAAUUUUUGUUUUCUUUUUUUUUUUUUUUUGGUAGAGACAGGGUUUUACCAUGUUGGUCAGGCUGGUCUCGAACUCCUGACCUCAAGUGAUCUACCUGCCUUGGCUUCCCAAAAAUGCUGGGAUUACAGGUGAACAUUUUCUUUUAUCCCCAAGCAUUUCCUGUGAAAGAAUAAACACCACUUCUCCAUUGUGUAGCCACACUGCUCAAAAAUUUAUUUCUAAUGGUUUAGGACUAUUCCUUUGCCCAUUGGUUAAACAAAUAUUCACUGAGUAGCUACUGAGUCUCAGGGACUGCUAAUGCUGCAAUGACCAGGGCAGCAUCAUAGAUGAGAAGCACAAACCGG
rnacentral:lncRNA from 1 species